UCUUCCUCCUGCUCCAGCCAUGUAAACUGUGCCUUCUUCCCCUUGGCCUUCCACUAUAACUGUACAUUUCCUGAGGCCUCCCCAGGCAUGCUUCCUAUAGAGUCUGCAGAAUGAUCACAUAAUGAUUAAGAGAUAUUUCUACCAGAGUAAGUCACUAAUGCAUUCCCAGGAGUGGACUUAUUUCCUCCUCCAGCUGGCCUCUUCCAGCUUCUCUACAGCACUGGAUCUUCUACCAGUCUUUCCUUUGUCUCUGUAACUUCACCAUCCAGGAUAAAACAAUUCAUUACCACCAGAGUGAGAAAGCCAUGCCAUCCAAACCUCAAAAGAAACAGUCCAAACCCCUCCUCAACCAGAGACAUGCCAGCCCUGAGAUAAUCCGCCUACGGCUGGGAAGAUGUCAGCCCUGAGAUAACCUCCCUUCUGGAAAGAUAUCAGCCCCAAGAUAACCUCCCCUCUGCCCAGAGACAUUCCAACCCCACCAUAAAACUUCUCCCCUACACAGAAACAUUCCAAGCCAGAAGCCCCUCUCAGGUUUAUUUUUCUAAAAUAAAACUGUCUUUGACUGUUGAUCCGCA
rnacentral:lncRNA from 10 species